AAGUUACAGAGACAACAUGCUGAGAGAGCAGAGGAGACCCUCCAGGCAAGGGCAGACUCCUUGCAGGGGCAGGCUGGGGGCCCCCGCUGCCUGCUGGGUCAGGCUGGUGAAUCUGGUCAUGGUUCCGCCCCCCAGAUUCACUCCCUAGGUGUGUUUGUUUACUGGUUCCUCACUGUCUUGCUCAAAUGCUCCAACUCUACAAAUCCCGGGAUCUCGGGGUGCAGAUCACCUCUCCCAGAUUCCUGAGCCUGUGUCUGGCCAUGGGCACCUCCAGCAUCUUCCUCUGCGUGCUGUUCCUCUGUGGGGCACUGGGUCUCACCAUGUCCCCUGCCCGGGGAAGGCUCCGCUGCUACAUCUGUGGCUUCACCAAACCCUGCCACCCUGUUCCCACCGAGUGUCGGGACGAUGAAGCUUGUGGCAUCAGUAUUGGCACUUCAGAUGCCCAUUGCUGAUGCCCCGUGUCAGCCCAGGUCACUGGCAAGGCAGGCAUUUUGAUGACACUGUGGAUCUCAGGCAAGGGGAUCAAAGGAGCAUCAGGAUACGUACUAUCAGCCCCGUGCCCUGGAGAAACAUGCUGACAGCAUCCUGGCACUGGCUUCAGUAUUCUGGUCCAUCUCUUAUUACUCCUCUCCCUUCGCCUUCUUCUACUUGUACAGGAAAGGUUACUUGAGUUUGUCCAAAGUGGUGCCGUUUUCUCACUAUGCUGGGACAUUGCUGCUACUUCUGGCAGGUGUGGCCUGCCUCCGAGGCAUUGGCCGCUGGACCAACCCCCAGUACCGGCAGUUCAUCACCAUCUUGGAAGCAACACAUCGGAACCAGUCUUCAGAAAACAAGAGGCAGCUUGCCAACUACAACUUUGACUUCCGGAGCUGGCCAGUCGACUUCCACUGGGAAGAACCCAGCAGCCGGAAGGAGUCUCGAGGGGGCCCUUCCCGCCGGGGUGUGGCCCUGCUUCGCCCAGAGCCCCUGCACCGGGGGACAGCAGACACCCUCCUCAACCGGGUUAAGAAGCUGCCUUGUCAGAUCACCAGCUACCUGGUGGCGCACACCCUAGGGCGCCGGAUGCUGUAUCCAGGCUCUGUGUACCUGCUGCAGAAGGCCCUCAUGCCUGUGCUGCUGCAGGGCCAGGCCCGACUGGUGGAAGAGUGUAAUGGGCGCCGGGCAAAGCUGCUGGCCUGUGAUGGCAAUGAGAUUGACACCAUGUUUGUGGACCGGCGGGGGACAGCUGAGCCCCAGGGACAGAAGCUGGUGAUCUGCUGUGAGGGGAAUGCUGGGUUUUAUGAGGUGGGCUGCGUCUCCACGCCCCUGGAAGCUGGAUAUUCAGUCCUGGGCUGGAAUCAUCCAGGCUUUGCUGGAAGCACGGGGGUGCCAUUCCCGCAGAAUGAGGCUAAUGCCAUGGAUGUGGUGGUCCAGUUUGCCAUCCACCGCCUAGGCUUCCAGCCCCAGGACAUCAUCAUCUACGCCUGGUCCAUCGGCGGCUUCACUGCCACGUGGGCAGCCAUGUCCUACCCAGAUGUUAGUGCCAUGAUCCUGGAUGCCUCCUUUGAUGACCUGGUGCCCUUGGCCUUGAAGGUCAUGCCAGACAGCUGGAGGGGCCUGGUGACCAGGACCGUGAGGCAGCAUCUCAAUCUAAACAACGCGGAGCAGCUGUGCAGAUACCAGGGUCCUGUACUGCUGAUCCGGAGAACCAAGGAUGAGAUCAUCACCACCACGGUUCCUGAGGACAUCAUGUCCAACCGAGGCAAUGACCUCCUGCUGAAGCUCCUGCAGCAUCGGUAUCCCCGGGUGAUGGCAGAGGAGGGUCUUCGAGUGGUGAGGCAGUGGUUGGAGGCCUCCUCACAGCUGGAGGAAGCCUCAAUUUAUAGCCGAUGGGAGGUGGAAGAGGACUGGUGUCUGUCUGUCCUCCGCUCCUACCAGGCAGAACACGGGCCCGACUUCCCCUGGAGCGUGGGGGAGGACAUGAGUGCAGAUGGACGGCGGCAGCUGGCUUUGUUUCUGGCUCGGAAGCAUCUGCACAACUUUGAGGCCACUCACUGCACCCCACUCCCAGCCCAGAACUUCCAGAUGCCCUGGCACCUCUAGGGACCAACUGGGACUCAUUAUGGAAGAAUGGGGUGAGAGGAGACAUGAGGAAAGACCCUCUUAUUUGUGAUUCUCUGUGUUCAUGUUGCUGUUUAUAGUUUGUGGAAAGUGGGGGACCAUCCCCCUUCUCACCACUGUUCCUCUUGCACGUUUCCCCUCAUUCAUGUGGCUGUACUUAACCUUCUCCAACAUACAUCCUGCAUUACAUGAAUGGAUUAUUCCUAAUAAUUAAUAAAAAGGUAUUUUUUCU
ensembl:lncRNA novel transcript